UGAGGAAUAUUGCACAAUGGGCGCAAGCCUGAUGCAGCAACGCCGCGUGAGGGACGACGGCCUUCGGGUUGUAAACCUCUUUUAGUAGGGAAGAAGCGAAAGUGACGGUACCUGCAGAAAAAGCACCGGCUAACUACGUGCCAGCAGCCGCGGUAAUACGUAGGGUGCGAGCGUUGUCCGGAAUUAUUGGGCGUAAAGAGCUCGUAGGCGGUCUGUCGCGUCUGCUGUGAAAACCCGAGGCUCAACCUCGGGCCUGCAGUGGGUACGGGCAGACUAGAGUGCGGUAGGGGAGAAUGGAAUUCCUGGUGUAGCGGUGGAAUGCGCAGAUAUCAGGAGGAACACCGAUGGCGAAGGCAGUUCUCUGGGCCGUAACUGACGCUGAGGAGCGAAAGCGUGGGGAGCGAACAGGAUUAGAUACCCUGGUAGUCCACGCCGUAAACGUUGGGCGCUAGAUGUGGGGACCAUUCCACGGUUUUCCGUGCCGCAGCAAACGCAUUAAGUGCCCCGCCUGGGGAGUACGGCCGCAAGGCU
rnacentral:rRNA from 1 species